UGCCCCAUGGCCUAGUUAGUUAAGGCAUCCAACGGUUAAUCGGGUGAUCGAGAGUUCACGCCUCUCUGGGACAA
rnacentral:tRNA from 1 species